AGUAGUUUGAUCAUGGCUCAGGACGAACGCUGGCGGCGUGCUUCAUACAUGCAAGUCGAACGAUAAGGUUCCUUCGGGAAUACAUAAGUGGCGGACGGGUGAGUAAAAUGUAGAGAAUCUGCCCCAGAGCGGGGGACAACGGUUGGAAACGACCGCUAAUACCCCAUAUGAGCGUAGUUGAGAUACUAUUCUUGAAAACUCCGGUGCUCUGGGAUGAGUCUGCAUCUGAUUAGCUAGUUGGGGGUGUAAUGGACCACCAAGGCGAUGAUCAGUAGCUGGUUUGAGAGGAUGAUCAGCCACAAUGGGACUGAGACACGGCCCAUACUCC
rnacentral:rRNA from 1 species